rnacentral:rRNA from 1 species
CCGAAAGGCGUAGUCGAUGGGAAACGGGUUAAUAUUCCCGUACUUGGUGUUACUGCGAAGGGGGGACGGAGAAGGCUAUGUUGGCCGGGCGACGGUUGUCCCGGUUUAAGCGUGUAGGUGUGUGUUCCAGGUAAAUCCGGUUCACUUUAACACUGAGGCGUGACGACGAGGCACUACGGUGCUGAAGCAACAAAUGCCCUGCUUCCAGGAAAAGCCUCUAAGCAUCAGGUAACAUCAAAUCGUACCCCAAACCGACACAGGUGGUCAGGUAGAGAAUACCAAGGCGCUUGAGAGAACUCGGGUGAAGGAACUAGGCAAAAUGGUGCCGUAACUUCGGGAGAAGGCACGCUGACACGUAGGUGAAGUGAUUUACUCAUGGAGCUGAAGUCAGUCGAAGAUACCAGCUGGCUGCAACUGUUUAUUAAAAACACAGCACUGUGCAAACACGAAAGUGGACGUAUACGGUGUGACGCCUGCCCGGUGCCGGAAGGUUAAUUGAUGGGGUCAGCGCAAGCGAAGCUCCUGAACGAAGCCCCGGUAAACGGCGGCCGUAACUAUAACGGUCCUAAGGUAGCGAAAUUCCUUGUCGGGUAAGUUCCGACCUGCACGAAUGGCGUAAUGAUGGCCAGGCUGUCUCCACCCGAGACUCAGUGAAAUUGAACUCGCUGUGAAGAUGCAGUGUACCCGCGGCAAGACGGAAAGACCCCGUGAACCUUUACUAUAGCUUGACACUGAACAUUGAGCCUUGAUGUGUAGGAUAGGUGGGAGGCUUUGAAGUGUGGACGCCAGUCUGCAUGGAGCCGACCUUGAAAUACCACCCUUUAAUGUUUGAUGUUCUAACGUGGACCCGUUACCCGGGUUGCGGACAGUGUCUGGUGGGUAGUUUGACUGGGGCGGUCUCCUCCUAAAGAGUAACGGAGGAGCACGAAGGUUGGCUAAUCCUGGUCGGACAUCAGGAGGUUAGUGCAAUGGCAUAAGCCAGCUUGACUGCGAGCGUGACGGCGCGAGCAGGUGCGAAAGCAGGUCAUAGUGAUCCGGUGGUUCUGAAUGGAAGGGCCAUCGCUCAACGGAUAAAAGGUACUCCGGGGAUAACAGGCUGAUACCGCCCAAGAGUU